AGAUUGAACGCUGGCGGCAGGCCUAACACAUGCAAGUCGAGCGGCAGCACGGGUACUUGUACCUGGUGGCGAGCGGCGGACGGGUGAGUAAUGCCUAGGAAUCUGCCUGGUAGUGGGGGAUAACGCUCGGAAGCGGACGCUAAUACCGCAUACGUCCUACGGGAGAAAGCAGGGGACCUUCGGGCCUUGCGCUAUCAGAUGAGCCUAGGUCGGAUUAGCUAGUUGGUGAGGUAAUGGCUCACCGAGGCGACGAUCCGUAACUGGUCUGAGAGGAUGAUCAGUCACACUGGAACUGAGACACGGUCCAGACUCCUACGGGAGCAGCAGUGGGAAUAUUGGACAAUGGGCGAAAGCCUGAUCCAGCCAUGCCGCGUGUGUGAAGAAGGUCUUCGGAUUGUAAAGCACUUUAAGUGGAGGAAGGCAGUUACCUAAUACGUAUCUGUUUGACGUUACGACAGAAUAAGCACCGGCUAACUCUAGUGACC
rnacentral:rRNA from 1 species